GUAGCGCUCCCACCAAUCGAGCAUGUAGAGGCCCAUGAUGGAAGAGCCUCGGAGGUCGGAGGUCGGAGUCGGAAGAGCCGAGCACGGCGAGGAAAGAGGAGCGGUGCUGGCGUGCUGCGGUGGAGCUUGGAGAGGACUUCGGAGCACUGAGAACCGAGCUUCCGAGUCUGCUGAGAACCAGAGAACGGGAGUCGGGAGAUUGGAAUUUGGGAGAAGGUUCACCAUCACUGGUUCAGCAAUAAAAAAGAGAGCACCGGCGGCAGAGAACUGAGAAGGGGGAGAGAUAGAGAAGGGGGAGAAAAUGCCCGUUGCUUGUCAUUUGUCAACUGCCGUAGCCGUUGCGGCAUUGCCCAGCCAGCCUGUCGUCGGGGAGACGCCGAAGGCCGAAGGGGAUGCACUGUAGCGGCGUCGCGUCGUCCUGGCUCCUGUCCACUGCCUAGCUACGACUAGCUUAGAAGCUAUUCAAGCUAACAGAGGAGUAGACUCAGUAGAGGACAACCCGAUAUACUAGCUCAGCGGCUCAGCCUAUGCAUUAAAUUAAAAAAAAAAAAAGUGCGGUGGGAUGGGGCCUUCCCUGGGUCGGGGGCCUUAGGCGACCGCCUCAGUCGCCUAAGGCCCGAGCCGCCCCUG
rnacentral:lncRNA from 1 species